rnacentral:rRNA from 1 species
UACGGGGGGGGCAAGCGUUGUUCGGAAUUACUGGGCGGAAAGGGCGCGUAGGCGGCGCAAUAAGUCACUUGUGAAAUCUCCGGGCUUAACUCGGAGCGGCCAAGUGAUACUGUUGUGCUAGAGUGCAGAAAGGGCAAUCGGAAUUCUCGGUGUAGCGGUGAAAUGCGUAGAUAUCGAGAGGAACACCUGAGGCGAAGGCGGGUUGCUAGGCUGACACUGACGCUGAGGCGCGAAAGCUAGGGUAGCAAACGGG